rnacentral:rRNA from 1 species
AUUUUUUCCUGUAGCAAUACAGGGAAAAGUCUAGCGGCGAACGGGUGCUUAACACGUGGGCAACCUGCCGAGAAGUGGGGGAUAGCUCGCCGAAAGGCGAAUUAAUACCGCAUGUGAUUAGAGAGGACAUCCUUUCGAAAUCAAAGUCGGGGCAACCUGACGCUUUUUGUGGGGCCCGCGGCCUAUCAGCUAGUUGGUGAGGUAACGGCUCACCAAGGCUUUGACGGGUAGCUGGUCUGAGAGGACGACCAGCCACACUGGGACUGAGACACGGCCCAGACACCUACGGGUGGCAGCAGUCGAGAAUUUUUCUCAAUGGGGGAAACCCUGAAGGAGCGACGCCGCGUGGAGGAUGAAGGUCUUCGGAUUGUAAACUUCUGUCAUUGGGGAACAAGGUGCAUACGUUAACUGCGUGUGCAUUGAUAGUACCCGAAGAGGAAGAGACGGCUAACUCUGUGCCAGCAGCCGCGGUAAUACAGAGGUCUCAAGCGUUGUUCGGAUUCAUUGGGCGUAAAGGGUGCGUAGGCGGCGCGGUAAGUCGGGUGUGAAAUCUUGGAGCUUAACUCCGAAACUGCAUUCGAUACUGCCGUGCUUGAGGACUGGAGAGGAGACUGGAAUUUACGGUGUAGCGGUGAAAUGCGUAGAUAUCGUAAGGAAGACCAGUGGCGAAGGCGGGUCUCUGGACAGUUCCUGACGCUGAGGCACGAAGGCCAGGGGAGCAAACGGGAUUAGAUACCCCGGUAGUCCUGGCAGUAAACGGUGCACGUUUGGUGUGGGAGGAUUCGACCCCUUCUGCGCCGGAGCUAACGCGUUAAACGUG